rnacentral:rRNA from 1 species
GUUAAGCGACUAAGCGUACACGGUGGAUGCCCUGGCAGUCAGAGGCGAUGAAGGACGUGCUAAUCUGCGAUAAGCGUCGGUAAGGUGAUAUGAACCGUUAUAACCGGCGAUUUCCGAAUGGGGAAACCCAGUGUGAUUCGUCACACUAUCAUUAACUGAAUCCAUAGGUUAAUGAGGCGAACCGGGGGAACUGAAACAUCUAAGUACCCCGAGGAAAAGAAAUCAACCGAGAUUCCCCCAGUAGCGGCGAGCGAACGGGGAGCAGCCCAGA